rnacentral:lncRNA from 1 species
UCUGCUUGGAUUGGGAUUUAGCACAAUAUGUCCUGAGUCAAAUUGAGUUUGCAGAUGCAGAAGACUUAGGUGAAUUUUACACAAAAUAACUUACACCCACAUACAGUCUUCUCUAGAUGAGGGUGACUGACUCAGGAAUCGUGUAUCUGCACGUCAAUUGAUUAUGAUCACUAGCAAGCAAAAGAUAUUAAUGAUGUCUUUACAAAUUGAUGAAAUUCGGUUGCCUUGGAUAUUUCGCUCAUUUGAUGACUACAUCUGUAUCUGAAUUGGUGAUAGGUGCAUUACUUCUUAGUUCUGCCAUCAUUUUGUACAUGAGAUUUACAUGUUAUUAAUUAAAAACCAUUGUUUGCUUCUUGUUGACUCGAACAAACAAUUCCUGGUUAAAUGUCUGCCUAGCCUUUCUGAAUUAAAAGUCAAGCCAUCACGUUUUUAGUGUUUAUUGCAUUUCUUAUGUAAAUUGACACAUAACAUUGAUAUAUCUGUUAACUUGUGAUUAUAAUUUUCACUUUUCAGGAGGAUUUGGGGCCGACAACCUAUCGGUAAGCCAUAUCUCAUCUCAUUCUUUGAAAGAAAUUUAGGGCUGUUUGGGGUGAUUGUAGAUUUUCAAGAAAUUUAGGGCUGUUUGGGGUGAUUGUAGAUUUUCUUUUUUCGGCUUUUAAAUGUAAAUUUGAAAACAAAGCAGUACAAAUGGUGCUCAAAUGUUUUUAUUUUAGCAUAGUUUUAAAAUUAUUUAAAAAAUAUAGUUUUGUGAUUAUAGUGUUUAGUUUCGAGAACAUGAAACACCUUCAUCACUGUCAUUAUCCUAAUGCAUCAACCAUCACCACCAUUACCGCUACUCGACAACCUUCACGGUCGCUGCCACCUCAUACUCUCUCCUACUGCCAACAUCUACAUCUGACACCCUCUACCAUCACCACCACCACCAUACUUACCAGUACCACCACUGCUAAUUUUCAAGUUGUGGAAACAAUAUGCAGAUAAAUAUAUUAUUAUUAAAAAUUAAAACACUAUCAUUAAUUUUUUAUGGUUAUAUAUAUAUAUAUAUAUAUAUAUAUAUUUUGCAAACAAAGCAAAAUAUAAACGGUGAGAAUCUCUAACAAAAGCCAAAAAAAAAUUUAUUUCUAAAAAUUAAAUGAAAUUAAGGGAAUAUUGUUAAAUAUUUGCAUUAAUAUAUAUAGUUUGUGAUAUUACCAUCACUCUGCAUAAAGUAUUAUUGUCGUGAUCGCUCUUACCUCUACACUAAUGUUGUCGCAAUUGCACCUUCUCAGCAUCGGACAUUAUCCAUCGUGCUCACUAAAUAUUAUUUUCAUUGUCAUUGGCUCGUCGCAAUCACCCUCCACCGCACUGCAACCGCCCUUUACUCCACUA